GCAGAGAGCAGGAUAACUGAUUUCUAUCCUCCUCUAAUCACAUACGUGCUGUUGUGUCACUGCACUGCAAACAUUAGUCAUCUCGCACCCCUUGGGGCGAUUCUCUCGACACAAGCGCUGUGCCUCGGACAGGCAGGAGAAGCCCCUCGUUUUGGCUUCCGCCGGAUUCUGGUUGCGCCGUUCAUUCGACAGUCGGUUUGCUGAGGAACCCACUGAGGGCAACCCCUGCUUCUCUCUCUGCCCUUGGACGCAAAGAGGCCGUGACUAGCGAUGGCCGUCAAUUCCGGUAGCCGACUCUGCUUUCCGGUUUCUCUGUGACUCAGCGCCGAUGCCCCGUCUGCGUCCUCCGGCAGCCCCGAGGUCGCGGAGGAAAUAAACUCCAUCACAGCCACUUAGUGGAUGAGAAGAACAAGCGCACUGCUCUCUGGGUGAAGGUAUCGGCUAAUUAACUUUUCAUCAGCGUGAAAAGAUCCGCGCUAACAAAAUGAGAGACGGAACUGAUUACAUCCCCUCCCUGUCUAACAAUAGACAAGCUAGUACUGGAUUGAAAUAAAAUUCUCACAUGCAUCCCAGAAAGAAAGCACACAAUGCUUAAAUGGCUCCUUUGCCUCA